rnacentral:lncRNA from 1 species
UUACCCUUAUGGAAAUAUAAGCCCUCUGGCACAUAGUUGCGGCAGCAGUAUGGCUAUGCUGCGGCUUUGUUGCUGCAAACUGUUGCGGCUUCGAUGCAGCGAUAGCAUAUUUCGUAUGCAAAUUAGUUUUCUGGCACCAUAAUUGCGGCUAUAUUCUGGCACCGUUGCGGCAAUAUUCUGGCAUCAUGUUGCGGCACUGAUGCGGCUAUAGCGUAAUUCGUAUGCAAAUUAGUUUUCUGGCAUUAUGAUUGUGGCGCUGUUGCGGCGCUAAUACGGCUAUAUUCUUGCAUCAUUUUAGUGACAAAACAUGCGAAUAGGCCGUGUUUUGUAUAAAAUGUAUUGUGCCGGCAAAAACAAGUUGUCAAUGCAUAUAUAUGACAUGCAUUCAUGCAUUAUAAAUUUG